rnacentral:rRNA from 1 species
UACGAAGGGGGCUAGCGUUGCUCGGAAUCACUGGGCGUAAAGGGUGCGUAGGCGGGUCUUUAAGUCAGAGGGGAAAUCCUGGAGCUCAACUCCAGAACUGCCUUUGAUACUGAAGAUCUUGAGUUCGGGAGAGGUGAGUGGAACUGCGAGUGUAGAGGUGAAAUUCGUAGAUAUUCGCAAGAACACCAGUGGCGAAGGCGGCUCACUGGCCCGAUACUGACGCUGGGGCACGAAAGCGUGGGGAGCAAACAGG